UUUAUAAAAUUAACAUUAAAGCUUGUAUAACUAAUUUAGAUUUGCAUUUACGUCGAUUAAUAUUCAAGUAAACAUUAAUUACUGUUCUUGUAUUCUUAGACGCAAAAUCGUCUUAUGGGGGCCGUGGACCUAAGGGGGCCCUAGGCGGUCGCCUAGUCUGCCUAGUUCCAGGGCCGGCCCUGUCAACGAAAAUAUAUCUCUGCCUUUUGAUUUCGUUCGAACGUCUCACGUUCGUUCUCACGCAAUGAUUAAUGGUACUCUUGAACAUGAAACGUUGCGCAUCGAUUAAAUCCAACAAACAAAGAAUUUAUCCGAGGUGAAGUCAAUUGAAAAGGAAAAAAGGAAGAAAAGGAAAAGUACGUUGACUCGACGAUUGCUUCUCUGUUGCGCGAAACGCAAAAUCAGGAAGAGGAACUACACGAAAGCUGAUCUCAUACAUCAUUCCUUUUAUCACCGAACCAUAAAGGUGGUAUCCUUAAAUCAUCGCUGGGAGAAUACCAUAAAUCAUCGAACCGAUGAGAACCGAUAAAUCAAACCCACCAGCUUUGCAAACGUACCAUUUAAUGUAACAACAUUAACGCGAUUUUCAUGACUCCUAUACAAGCUGCAAGUGACCAAUUCUGAAGCUCUGAUCAUCGCAUGAUUGAUAAUAUGAAAAGUCACGUAUUGAAAUGACGAGUAAGAUUAGCCAGCCGUUUUCUUUUCGAUUCUUGCCCGAGAUAAUGGCUCUGGCGAAGGAGAAAAGAAUAUAGAAAAAGGACGAGAAUUGGCACAGGUGCAGUGUACACGUAGAUGCGUGGACCAUGACCUGGGCGGAGUCAUUUCGCGGCCUUCGGCGGGGCGGCAUGAAGAAACCACGAAGAGAAGAUGCGACUACGAACGGCGAGUGCAAAGAUCUCUCAAGGUCGUCACUGUACCCCUCGUCCUUGUCUUGUUUAAUGAGACUCCAUAGAAACGUCUACAUGGGGUGCUCAAAAAGUUCGAAGAAUUAUCUUCUUCGUACCUUAAGAUUCAAAAAACUUUUGCAUGAGACGCCUUAAAAUCAUUUUGCGGAGAAUAGAAAUUUGAUAUACAGUGGUACCAACACGUCUGCUUUGGAAUACGUCCUGUUUGGACGUGACAAAUUUUGCUCGGUAUACGACAUAAAUUUUUUCUGUGAAUUUUGCGUCAUUUUUAGAUAAUUAUCUCAGAGGAAAAAUUAAAUUAAUAAUCAAUUAUAUUCGGAGUUGAUGUAUCAUUAAUUGACUGAUCAUACAAGUAAGAUAAAGUGAAAGUAUGUUGGCAUAGACUGGCCGAUAAAAUUGUAAGUUCAGAAGAAAGUUUUACAAAAUUAUAUUAUAAGCAAUGUGAUACUUGUAUUGAAUUGUAAUUCAAGUGGCGCCUGGAAAGAUAUCGUGUUUGUAAGUGUACGUGUUCCCUCUUUACCCAUUGCCAGGCUGAUCUUCAACAAAGAAGAAAAGUAAACGGAGAGUGAACAAAAAGUAGACCGACCGAGAGCUCGCAUUUUUCUGUCGAGAUACUCGCUCGAAAUUCCAUUACAGUCACGGUAUAAAUAUAGACUCGUUGAUUUAGCGGGUACUUGUUAAAAGUAGCAAAUUCACUUUUGUUUUAUUUAUUUUUUAAUAGAUGAUAUUCGUUUUCAUUCAACUUGAAUUUUACCACCUUACGUCGGUGGGAUGGAUUAAAAUGUUAAUCGAAGAUUCAAGGAUAUAAUUUAUAAAUUAUUGACACGUACAAAAUUCGAGGAUUUUCUUUUUAUACGGACAGAAAAAUUAAUUAAGCGUUCAGGUCACGGUACGGUGUUAAAUAAUGCCUGGAUUCAUUAUGAAAUCGGUUGGUCUCGUGAAUGAGUUAAGGAGCAGUUAGUAUGCGAUCGAGGAUCUUUCCUGCACGAGCUUAGGAUCCACGGAAGGAAGCAUAAAUCCUUCGAGCUCGUUAUUUGAUUAUGAAUUAACAUUAAUUAACAACGAUGUGGAUCUUAUGAAGACGUUUAAUCUCGAUCAAGUUAAAAGAAUUGCUUCGUUUAUUGUUUCUUUUUUUUUAAACUGCAGGUAAUAAAUUAUUUAUUAAUUGCA